AACAAGCACAAGCUGGUUUUAACAAGCCUAAAUAGAUUCCCGUGCGCGGCGACGAUUUACGGGACAGACUCUCUUGACAGCGAUCGAAGCAGAGCGCAACUGACUGAGUUCUAAUUUAUCAAUUUAGUGACAACUGCCAAAUCUCUCGGCAAUCCCUACUCCAUUUCCUGUAUCCUCUCAGUUUGUUUUUUUCCAACAGGGUUGGGUACCUCUAAUUAUUUCACUAGCUGGGAUGAUACAGUCAUAGGACAAAUACACCGUCACUGGUGAUGAUUCGGGCACGCUUUGAUAAUGGUGAAGUAGGUUCGGGAGUCGGGACACUAUUAGAGCUGACUUCAAUUGAAAGACAGGGAGGGUGGAGAUUUUGCUUGGAGACUUGAUUCAGAUUGGCCUGAAAGGUUGCAAGAGCUUCUGUCAUUGGGUCAAGAGAGAAGGCCGGUGCAUUUAGCAAUUAAUGGCAAUGGUACCUUUAGGGGAUAUGAAAGUAUGUGUUCUUUUCCCUUGUGGUUUUGAAGUUGCCCCUUGUUUAUGAAAUUAUUUGACUGAAAUAUCCUAUGCUUUUUAUUAUUAUUAUUUUUUUCCUAACUUGCCUGUUUUGGAUACUGAAAGAGUGUUCCUUCCUGCACAUUAUUAAUGAUUUUAGUUGUGGUGUUGAGAUUUUGAAAUA